GCAUCGGUGGUUCAGUGGUAGAAUUUUCAUCUUCCAUGCAAGAGACCGAGAUUUGAUUCCUGGCCAGUGCA
rnacentral:tRNA from 1 species